rnacentral:rRNA from 1 species
GGCCAGACUCCUACGGGAGGCAGCAGUGGGGAAUAUUGCACAAUGGGGGAAACCCUGAUGCAGCGACGCCGCGUGAGCGAUGAAGUAUUUCGGUAUGUAAAGCUCUAUCAGCAGGGAAGAAAAUGACGGUACCUGACUAAGAAGCCCCGGCUAACUACGUGCCAGCAGCCGCGGUAAUACGUAGGUGGCAAGCGUUGUCCGGAUUUACUGGGUGUAAAGGGCGUGUAGCCGGGCUUACAAGUCAGAUGUGAAAUCCGGGGGCUCAACCCCCGAACUGCAUUUGAAACUGUAGGUCUUGAGUAUCGGAGAGGCAGGCGGAAUUCCUAGUGUAGCGGUGAAAUGCGUAGAUAUUAGGAGGAACACCAGUGGCGAAGGCGGCCUGCUGGACGACAACUGACGGUGAUGCUCGAAAGCGAGGGGAGCAAACAGGAUUAGAUACCCUCGUA